rnacentral:rRNA from 1 species
GAUGAACGCUGGCGGCGUGCCUAAUACAUGCAAGUCGAGCGAACAGACGAGGAGCUUGCUCCUCUGACGUUAGCGGCGGACGGGUGAGUAACACGUGGGUAACCUACCUAUAAGACUGGGAUAACUUCGGGAAACCGGAGCUAAUACCGGAUAAUAUAUUGAACCGCAUGGUUCAAUAGUGAAAGACGGUUUUGCUGUCACUUAUAGAUGGAUCCGCGCCGCAUUAGCUAGUUGGUAAGGUAACGGCUUACCAUGGCAACGAUGCGUAGCCGACCUGAGAGGGUGAUCGGCCACACUGGAACUGAGACACGGUCCAGACUCCUACGGGAGGCAGCAGUAGGGAAUCUUCCGCAAUGGGCGAAAGCUUGACGGAGCAACGCCGCGUGAGUGAUGAAGGUCUUCGGAUCGUAAAACUCUGUUAUUAGGGAAGAACAAAUGUGUAAGUAACUAUGCACGUCUUGACGGUACCUAAUCAGAAAGCCACGGCUAACUACGUG